CGGGCGCCUGGCGAUGUUUGCGAUGCUCGGUUUCUUCCUGCAGGCCUAUGUUACAGGAGAAGGGCCAGUGGAGAACCUCAGCAAGCAUCUGAGUGACCCAUUUGGAAACAACUUGCUCACUGUGAUCUCAGGAGGGGCUGAGAGAGUUCCUACCCUGUAACUUUCUUCAUUCCAAUUCCAACACCCCUUGGGUUGUAAAUUUAAUGAGAUCACGGAAGGCCUGUGGUAAAUUGUGUUUCCUGCUAAAUACUAAAUGCUUG
rnacentral:misc_RNA from 1 species